UCUCCGUUGGUGAACCAGUGGAGGGAUCAUUACAGGACUCGCAAGACUCCUUCACCCUGUGAACCUCACUACAAGCACGUUGCUUCGGCGGGUGUCCCGGCGGGGGUUUUCCCUCGCCGGGGCGCACAGCCCGCCGGCAGCCUACUAUACUCUGUCUCUUUGCGUUGGCAUCUCGAGAAAAAACAAACAAGUUAAAACUUUCAACAACGGAUCUCUUGGUUCUG
rnacentral:misc_RNA from 1 species